CCUACGGGAGGCAGCAGUGAGGAAUAUUGGUCAAUGGCCGGAAGGCUGAACCAGCCAUGCCGCGUGAAGGUCAGUGCCCUAUGGGCGUUAAACUUCUUUUGUGCGGGAGCAAUAAUGGUCACGUGUGGCCAGACGAGAGUACCGUACGAAUAAGCAUCGGCUAACUCCGUGCCAGCAGCCGCGGUAAUACGGGGGAUGCAAGCGUUAUCCGGAUUUAUUGGGUUUAAAGGGUGCGUAGGCUGUGAGGUAAGUCAGCGGUGAAAUGCCCCCGCUCAACGGGGUGAAGUGCCAUUGAUACUGCCUGGCUGGAAUGCGGAUGCGGUGGGAGGAAUGUGUGGUGUAGCGGUGAAAUGCAUAGAUAUCACACAGAACACCGAUUGCGAAGGCAUCUCACGAAUCCGCGAUUGACGCUGAUGCACGAAAGCGUGGGUAUCAAACAGGAUUAGAUACCCGGGUAGUC
rnacentral:rRNA from 1 species